rnacentral:tRNA from 1 species
GGCGCCAUACCCAAGUGGCUAAGGGGACGGUCUGCAAAACCGUUAUUCGGCGGUUCGAAUCCGCCUGGCGCCUCCA